GGGGCUGUAGCUCAGCAGCACAGCACUUGCCUGGCAAGCAUGAGGUCCUGAGUUCAAUUCCUAGUACACACA
rnacentral:tRNA from 1 species